CAUUUGGUCUUUACCGUGCAAUCAUGAUGUUUCUGAGCUCUCUGCUUCUGCAGUCUGCAAUACUGGAUGAAUGCUUUGCACAGAAAAUAACACCACUGCAAGGCACAAUAUAUGCUACUGAGGGGAAGACAGUCAUUCUCUCAUGCAAAUAUGAAGGGAGCGUAGAUAAUUUGCUGUGGUAUCGGCAAUAUCCUGGGUCCAGACCUGAAUAUCUGCUACUUGUCUAUGAGUCGUCAACAAAGACUGUAAUAUAUGCAUCUCCUCCUAUCCCAAGACUGGAUGGCAAACUGAAUAUGGGGGAUAAGCAGGUGGAUCUGGAGAUCUCCUCUGCUGCAGUCACAGAUUCUGCUCUGUACUACUGUGCCCUGAGGCCCACAGUGACAGGAAACCCAACGACACUGUACAAAAACCUCUAUGAACCUAUGCAAAUACAGUACAUUAUAAUGGUCAUCAAUGUGGGAGAGCGCAUUUAAAUCACAAUUUCCAAAACAUUUAAAUCUAUACAUAUAUAUACACACACACACAUAUAUAUAUAUAUAUAUAUACAGGGUUGGGAGGGUUACUUUUGAAAUUUAUUCCACUACAGAUUACAGAAUACAUGCUUUAAAAUGUCAUUUGUAACGUAUUCCAUUAGAUUACUCAAGGUCAGUAACGUAUUCUAAAUACUUUGGAUUACUUCUUCAGCACUGGUAGAUUUUUUCACUUUUGACUAUUAAAAUUCUGCCAGUACAGUAAGACAAAAUACACAUGUUAAAAAUACAUUCUCUGAAAAACCUAAAUAUCUUAUACAAUGCUGUUUCUAAAACAAGAUCAAUCAAAUUGAUCUUGUUUUAAGGAUUUUUCAAUAUUUUUAAAGGAAAACAAUACAAAAAUUAUUAUCAAGAAUAUUUUUGCCCUAAUAUCAAAGGUCUUACUAGAAAAAAAGAAAUUAUGAUCCAACGUGAAUUUUCUUGAUAAAAAAAAUAUGAUUGUGCCUGGUAACGUGCAUGUAUAAUGGCUAGAAAUAGCAUUUUAGCUUAGCGUAAAGCUGACAAUUUACACAAGGUUUAUUUCUAUUUCUUCUGCUCCAAACUUACUUCAAACUUACUUCUCUGUCUGCUCGUAUGAAUGUAACACAUCAUAAGAAAGUGUGUCACCGCUGUUCAAAUUCACUUUUUUGAAUUUAUAUGUAUAAAUGUUUUCCAUCUGAAAGGACUAAAUAUUA